GCCGGAGUGGCGGAAUUGGCAGACGCGCGGGACUCAAAAUCCCGUGGGUGGAAACACCUGUGUGGGUUCAACCCCCACCUCCGGCA
rnacentral:tRNA from 1 species